rnacentral:rRNA from 1 species
GACGAACGCUGGCGGCAUGCUUAACACAUGCAAGUCGAACGGAAAGGCCCUGCUUUUGUGGGGUGCUCGAGUGGCGAACGGGUGAGUAACACGUGAGUAACCUGCCCUUGACUUUGGGAUAACUUCAGGAAACUGGGGCUAAUACCGGAUAGGAGCUCCUGCUGCAUGGUGGGGGUUGGAAAGUUUCGGCGGUUGGGGAUGGACUCGCGGCUUAUCAGCUUGUUGGUGGGGUAGUGGCUUACCAAGGCUUUGACGGGUAGCCGGCCUGAGAGGGUGACCGGCCACAUUGGGACUGAGAUACGGCCCAGACUCCUACGGGAGGCAGCAGUGGGGAAUAUUGCACAAUGGGCGGAGGCCUGAUGCAGCAACGCCGCGUGCGGGAUGACGGCCUUCGGGUUGUAAACCGCUUUCGCCUGUGACGAAGCGUGAGUGACGGUAAUGGGUAAAGAAGCACCGGCUAACUACGUGCCAGCAGCCGCGGUGAUACGUAGGGUGCGAGCGUUGUCCGGAUUUAUUGGGCGUAAAGGGCUCGUAGGUGGUUGAUCGCGUCGGAAGUGUAAUCUUGGGGCUUAACCCUGAGCGUGCUUUCGAUACGGGUUGACUUGAGGAAGGUAGGGGAGAAUGGAAUUCCUGGUGGAGCGGUGGAAUGCGCAGAUAUCAGGAGGAACACCAGUGGCGAAGGCGGUUCUCUGGGCCUUUCCUGACGCUGAGGAGCGAAAGCGUGGGGAGCGAACAGGCUUAGAUACCCUGGUAGUCCACGCUGUAAACGGUGGGUACUAGGUGUGGGGUCCAUUCCACGGGUUCCGUGCCGUAGCUAACGCUUUAAGUACCCCGCCUGGGGAGUACGGCCGCAAGGCUAAAACUCAAAGGAAUUGACGGGGCCCCGCACAAGCGGCGGAGCAUGCGGAUUAAUUCGAUGCAACGCGUAGAACCUUACCUGGGUUUGACAUGGAUCGGGAGUGCUCAGAGAUGGGUGUGCCUCUUUUGGGGUCGGUUCACAGGUGGUGCAUGCCUGUCGUCAGCUCGUGUCGUGAGAUGUUGGGUUAAGUCCCGCAACGAGCGCAACCCUUGUUCACUGUUGCCAGCACGUUAUGGUGGGGACUCAGUGGAGACCGCCGGGGUCAACUCGGAGGAAGGUGGGGAUGACGUCAAGUCCUCAUGCCCCUUAUGUCCAGGGCUUCACGCAUGCUACAAUGGCUGGUACAGAGAGUGGCGAGCCUGUGAGGGUGAGCGAAUCUCGGAAAGCCGGUCUCAGUUCGGAUUGGGGUCUGCAACUCGACCUCAUGAAGUCGGAGUCGCUAGUAAUCGCAGAUCAGCAACGCUGCGGUGAAUACGUUCCCGGG